rnacentral:tRNA from 2 species
GUCCCCAUCGUCUAGUGGCCCAGGACGCCAGCCUUUCACGCUGGUUACGCGGGUUCAAACCCCGCUGGGGACGCCA